rnacentral:rRNA from 1 species
GGUUAAGCGACUAAGCGUACACGGUGGAUGCCCUGGCAGUCAGAGGCGAUGAAGGACGUGCUAAUCUGCGAUAAGCGUCGGUAAGGUGAUAUGAACCGUUAUAACCGGCGAUUUCCGAAUGGGGAAACCCAGUGUGAUUCGUCACACUAUCAUUAACUGAAUCCAUAGGUUAAUGAGGCGAACCGGGGGAACUGAAACAUCUAAGUACCCCGAGGAAAAGAAAUCAACCGAGAUUCCCCCAGUAGCGGCGAGCGAACGGGGAGCAGCCCAGAGCCUGAAUCAGUGUGUGUGUUAGUGGAAGCGUCUGGAAAGGCGCGCGAUACAGGGUGACAGCCCCGUACACAAAAAUGCACAUGCUGUGAGCUCGAUGAGUAGGGCGGGACACGUGGUAUCCUGUCUGAAUAUGGGGGGACCAUCCUCCAAGGCUAAAUACUCCUGACUGACCGAUAGUGAACCAGUACCGUGAGGGAAAGGCGAAAAGAACCCCGGCGAGGGGAGUGAAAAAGAACCUGAAACCGUGUACGUACAAGCAGUGGGAGCACAGAGCAAUCUGUGUGACUGCGUACCUUUUGUAUAAUGGGUCAGCGACUUAUAUUCUGUAGCAAGGUUAACCGAAUAGGGGAGCCGAAGGGAAACCGAGUCUUAACUGGGCGUUAAGUUGCAGGGUAUAGACCCGAAACCCGGUGAUCUAGCCAUGGGCAGGUUGAAGGUUGGGUAACACUAACUGGAGGACCGAACCGACUAAUGUUGAAAAAUUAGCGGAUGACUUGUGGCUGGGGGUGAAAGGCCAAUCAAACCGGGAGAUAGCUGGUUCUCCCCGAAAGCUAUUUAGGUAGCGCCUCGUGAAUUCAUCUCCGGGGGUAGAGCACUGUUUCGGCAAGGGGGUCAUCCCGACUUACCAACCCGAUGCAAACUGCGAAUACCGGAGAAUGUUAUCACGGGAGACACACGGCGGGUGCUAACGUCCGUCGUGAAGAGGGAAACAACCCAGACCGCCAGCUAAGGUCCCAAAGUCAUGGUUAAGUGGGAAACGAUGUGGGAAGGCCCAGACAGCCAGGAUGUUGGCUUAGAAGCAGCCAUCAUUUAAAGAAAGCGUAAUAGCUCACUGGUCGAGUCGGCCUGCGCGGAAGAUGUAACGGGGCUAAACCAUGCACCGAAGCUGCGGCAGCGACGCUUAUGCGUUGUUGGGUAGGGGAGCGUUCUGUAAGCCUGUGAAGGUGUACUGUGAGGUAUGCUGGAGGUAUCAGAAGUGCGAAUGCUGACAUAAGUAACGAUAAAGCGGGUGAAAAGCCCGCUCGCCGGAAGACCAAGGGUUCCUGUCCAACGUUAAUCGGGGCAGGGUGAGUCGACCCCUAAGGCGAGGCCGAAAGGCGUAGUCGAUGGGAAACAGGUUAAUAUUCCUGUACUUGGUGUUACUGCGAAGGGGGGACGGAGAAGGCUAUGUUGGCCGGGCGACGGUUGUCCCGGUUUAAGCGUGUAGGCUGGUUUUCCAGGCAAAUCCGGAAAAUCAAGGCUGAGGCGUGAUGACGAGGCACUACGGUGCUGAAGCAACAAAUGCCCUGCUUCCAGGAAAAGCCUCUAAGCAUCAGGUAACAUCAAAUCGUACCCCAAACCGACACAGGUGGUCAGGUAGAGAAUACCAAGGCGCUUGAGAGAACUCGGGUGAAGGAACUAGGCAAAAUGGUGCCGUAACUUCGGGAGAAGGCACGCUGAUAUGUAGGUGAAGUCCCUCGCGGAUGGAGCUGAAAUCAGUCGAAGAUACCAGCUGGCUGCAACUGUUUAUUAAAAACACAGCACUGUGCAAACACGAAAGUGGACGUAUACGGUGUGACGCCUGCCCGGUGCCGGAAGGUUAAUUGAUGGGGUUAGCGCAAGCGAAGCUCUUGAUCGAAGCCCCGGUAAACGGCGGCCGUAACUAUAACGGUCCUAAGGUAGCGAAAUUCCUUGUCGGGUAAGUUCCGACCUGCACGAAUGGCGUAAUGAUGGCCAGGCUGUCUCCACCCGAGACUCAGUGAAAUUGAACUCGCUGUGAAGAUGCAGUGUACCCGCGGCAAGACGGAAAGACCCCGUGAACCUUUACUAUAGCUUGACACUGAACAUUGAGCCUUGAUGUGUAGGAUAGGUGGGAGGCUUUGAAGUGUGGACGCCAGUCUGCAUGGAGCCGACCUUGAAAUACCACCCUUUAAUGUUUGAUGUUCUAACGUUGACCCGUAAUCCGGGUUGCGGACAGUGUCUGGUGGGUAGUUUGACUGGGGCGGUCUCCUCCUAAAGAGUAACGGAGGAGCACGAAGGUUGGCUAAUCCUGGUCGGACAUCAGGAGGUUAGUGCAAUGGCAUAAGCCAGCUUGACUGCGAGCGUGACGGCGCGAGCAGGUGCGAAAGCAGGUCAUAGUGAUCCGGUGGUUCUGAAUGGAAGGGCCAUCGCUCAACGGAUAAAAGGUACUCCGGGGAUAACAGGCUGAUACCGCCCAAGAGUUCAUAUCGACGGCGGUGUUUGGCACCUCGAUGUCGGCUCAUCACAUCCUGGGGCUGAAGUAGGUCCCAAGGGUAUGGCUGUUCGCCAUUUAAAGUGGUACGCGAGCUGGGUUUAGAACGUCGUGAGACAGUUCGGUCCCUAUCUGCCGUGGGCGCUGGAGAACUGAGGGGGGCUGCUCCUAGUACGAGAGGACCGGAGUGGACGCAUCACUGGUGUUCGGGUUGUCAUGCCAAUGGCACUGCCCGGUAGCUAAAUGCGGAAGAGAUAAGUGCUGAAAGCAUCUAAGCACGAAACUUGCCCCGAGAUGAGUUCUCCCUGACUCCUUGAGAGUCCUGAAGGAACGUUGAAGACGACGACGUUGAUAGGCCGGGUGUGUAAGCGCAGCGAUGCGUUGAGCUAACCGGUACUAAUGAACCGUGAGGCUUAACCUU